rnacentral:rRNA from 1 species
CCCUUAGAUGUUCUGGGCCGCACGCGCGCUACACUGAUGAAUUCAACGAGCACUAACCUGUGCCGAAAGGUUCGGGUAAUCUUGUGUAAUUUCAUCGUGAUGGGGAUUGAUUAUUGCAAUUUUUAAUCAUAAACGAGGAAUGCCUAGUAAGCGUGAGUCAUCAGCUCACGUUGAUUACGUCCCUGCCCUUUGUACACACCGCCCGUCGCUCCUACCGAUUGAAUGUGCCAGUGAAAAGUUCGGAUUGGAGAUAGGAAACGGCAACGUAUCCUAUUUCCGAGAAAAUCUUUAAACUUUCCCAUUUAGAGGAAGGAGAAGUCGUAACA